AGGGUACUGAUCCCAAGUCACUGAUGGGUAUCCUAAAAAACUCACCAUUUGUCACCUUCCUCACUGGUCAAUGCUUUUAAUUUGACCUAACAAGUUAAUUACAAAGCCCCUCUCUUGCAUGCAAUUGCAUAUGUACUGUCAGCUCUUCUCUUUAUUUUCUUUUCUCUUUCAUAUUCUAUACAUGUUCUUGAGUUUGUAACUGAUCAUCAUCAUCAAGUCUAUGUUUUUUGCACAAGGAAGACUUAUAAAGUUGUUGAAGUAUCAUCCGUCUUGUCGAGGACGGGCUAGCCAGAGAGAACUUAGAGCUUGGAGACGGUGAAAGUACUCCGCAACUGCUAGAAGGCACCGUGCUUCUUGACGGGUCGUUAAUAAUUGAUUCAGCCUAUGGAUCGUUUGAUGCCUCAGAUUAUCCGCCUGUAAGUUUUCAAUAUGUAUUAGUCACCAAAAACUAUAUCAAAACUAAAUAUGGACAAAGUAGUAGUGUUCAUGUUUUUGA